GAUGAAGAACGUAGCGAAAUGCGAUAAGUAGUGUGAAUUGCAGAAUUCAGUGAAUCAUCGAAUCUUUGAACGCACAUUGCGCCCGCUAGUAUUCUGGCGGGCAUGCCUGUUCGAGCGUCAUUUCAACCAUCAAGCCUCAGGCUUGUGUUGGAGCCCUGCGGCUGCCGCAGCCUCCCAAAAACAGUGGCGGGCUCGCUAUCACACCGAGUGCAGUAGUUUACUCUUCGCUCAGGGCGUGUGGCGGGUGCUAGCCGUGAAACCCCCUAAUUCUCAAGGUUGACCUCGGAUCAGGUAGGAAUACCCGCUGAACUUAAGCAUAUCAAUAAGCGGAGGA
rnacentral:misc_RNA from 1 species